rnacentral:misc_RNA from 1 species
UACGGAGGGGGUUAGCGUUGUUCGGAAUUACUGGGCGUAAAGCGCGCGUAGGCGGGCUGUUAAGUCAGAGGUGAAAUCCCGGGGCUCAACCCCGGAACUGCCUUUGAUACUGGCAGCCUGGAGUUCGAGAGAGGUGAGUGGAAUUCCGAGUGUAGAGGUGAAAGUCGUAGAUAUUCGGAGGAACACCAGUGGCAAUGGCGGCUCACUGGCUCGAUACUGACGCUGAGGUGCGAAAGCGUGGGGAGCAAACAGG